rnacentral:lncRNA from 1 species
GAAAAAGAGAGAGACGCCAGCCUCCUUUCCACCUCGUGGGAAGUGUUCUGCUUCUCCGGGUAACUCUGGACAUUAAAACUGGUGUUUGUUUGACCUAAAAUCAUAGAUACAGAUGUGCAGCCAGGUAGAGAGAUGCCCACAGUUGACUCCAUCUCAGUGCGAUUCGACUGAAACGUUAUAUGCCGCCUUAAUGAAGGGCUAACUUAAAAGAGUUUUUUCAAUGCUGCAGUGACUGAAGAAGCAGUCCACUCCCAUGUAACCAUGAAAGAGAGCCAGAGAGCUUUUUGCACCAUGCAUUUUUACUAUUAUUUUCCAAUACUUAGCACCAUUUCACUAAGGAACCUUGAAUACAACCAGGAUCCUCCUUUGCAUGCGACUGUAGCUGCAUUUCAUGAAUAGUUUGAACCCUUGUCAAUGCAUUUUUUGAAAAAGAAAGAAAAAAAAAACUUCGUGUAUGUGACUCAAAGCAUGUAACCUUAAGAUGUUGCAUUCUAAACUGACAAUAAAGACCUUUCCCAAAUAUGAUG